GAAAAUGUAUAUAUUUUGGAGAAAUCUAUUUCAGAGAACAGAAACAACGAUUCUUCAAAAAUGUAGACCAAAUCAGGAAGCUGAGGAUGCAAUACACAACUCAACUAAUGCUUUUGAAGAAAACACUGAAUGUAGGAUCAACAAAAGAUUAUCAAGAAAAAUUACAAAAGAGUAG